UGCGAUCAUACCAAAGACUAAUGCACCGGAUCCCAUCGGAACUCCGCAGUUAAGCGUGCUUUGGGGUAGUACUAGGAUGGGUGACCCCCCGGGAAGUCCUCGUGUUGCA
rnacentral:rRNA from 1 species